UGAAGUGGUCCAAAGUACAUUUAUUUUUACAAUGAAAGCUCAUCUAUGAAUCUGAUAAAGGCCUUCCUUUAACUGGAGACAAUUUGGGAUGUUGCUAAACAAGGUUUGGGAAGCCCUUCUAUGGAUCGGUUUUGUCUCCAAGUCUGUCCCUGCCAAAAGCCAUCAAAAGUCUCCAUCACCCCUGGGCUCCAGUCUGCUACCCCCAGACUUGGCAGCUGGGAUCUCUCCUUCCUGGUUCAUAGUUCUCAUUCCCACCCCUCAGCGAUGGAGUUAGAGUUCCAGGCCCACGUGGUGAACGAGAUUGUGAGUGUCAAGAGGGAAUACGUAGUUUAUGAUCUGAAGACCCAAGUCCCACCCCAGCAGCUGGUGCCCUGCUUCCAGGUGAUGGUGAGUCAACUCGGGAGGAGGCCGACAGAGGGCUGCUGGAGGCGGGUGGGAGUGAGGAUGCACGGCCAGAGGCCAGGCCCCAUGCCACCGAUGCCUACCUCCUUCCUCCCCCUGGAAGGCCCUGACUUUUCCCCUUCCAGCUGAGCCUGAAGAACACGGCACUCAAGUCCAUCAUCGCUCUCUUGGUGCCUGCAGAGGCACUGCUGUUGGCUGACGUGUGCGGGGGGUUGCUGCCCCUCUGGGCCAUUGAGCGCAUAGGCUACAAGGUGACAUUGCUGCUGGGUUACCUCGUCUUCCACUCCUCCCUGGUGCAGGCCCUGCCCAGCUCCUCUUCCUGCAACCCACUGCUCAGUAAGCCCUGCUCCCUUACCCAGCCUGCCCUGUUUCUCCCCGGUCACCCACUGGUGCUCAGCUCACUGGGCACCAGAGACACAGGGACUGGCCCCUGAGCAUCUCCCCGUGCCCUGCCUCCCCCAGUUUACUACUUCACCAUCCUGCUGCUGCUGCUCUUCCUCAGCACCAUAGAGACUGUGCUGCUGGCUGGGCUGCUGGCCUGGGGCAGCCUUGGGGCCAAGAGUGGCCCCAGCCCAGUCCCGAGAGGGGAACAGCGAGAGCACGGCAACCCAGGGCCUCAUCCUGCUGAAGGUGGGCAGGGGCUGGGGGGUAAGGAAUGAGGCCUAGGUGCACACCCAGGGCUGGGGUGAGGGCGCCGGGGUCCAGGCGUGCGUAGAGGCUCCUUGCAUCCACCCUGCUGGCUGUCCUGUCCCUGGUCUCCACCAUGUCCUCCUUAGAAGAAACAGGUCUGGGGCAGGAAGCAAGCUUAGCCUCCCUGAAGUCCCAGGUGACCUCAAUCCCCUGAUAACCCACGCCUUGCACAGCCUAAGAGGGUGUUUCUUCAACUGAAGAUGGCCUGAAAUGGGCCAGACCCAAAUUUUCAUCAGCUGAGAAUCUAAGAAAGGAAGCGAUACAGGCUGAUGACCCCUGGGGUUCGCUCUUCUGCUCAUGUUGGGGGGACCUUGAAGAACAGCUCCUUUCCCUGUAUCUCUCCCCACAGAGCCCCCCAGAAGAGUAAAGGGGUCACAGAGAAGCUGGCCUGAGACUGCUGACCGCAUCUUCUUCCUCGUGUAUGUGGUUGGGGUGCUGUGCAGCAAAUUCGUCUUUGCAGGAAUCUGGAUGUGGGCAGCGUGCAAGUCUGACGCAGCCCCUGGAGAGGCUGCACCCCAUGGCAGGCGGCCUAGACUGUAAAGGGGCAGGGCCUGGGCUGCACACAUUAGGAUGAAGUUUGCUUUCCCAUGGCUGGGGGAGGGCCAUGACAGGGUCUCUGGAUUAAGCCACCCUGAGCCCUCCCUCUGCUAGCACACAAGCACAGAGUGUGAAAUAAAGCCAUCUCCAGUGCAAGUGUGCCUCAAAGGUCAGUCUUCAUUCUCGUCCUAAAUAGGUGGGGCCCUAUUUUUUGCUUCUAACCCCCACUUUGCUCCUUAACUUUUCCCCACUGUCCCCGUCUCCCAGUCCACAGGCAGGCAGCCUAAUUGCUCCUUCUGCAACCACAACUGCUUGGCCCUGGGCCAAGAGGCACUGAGGCUGGGGACCAGAGACAGAGGCCUGAGGAAGAAUGCAGAGGGUGGGGCGGAACUCCUCCUCCGAAUGCCUCCUGCAGUGUGCUGGACUCUAGGGAAAAUGGCCAGUGAGCCUGCCUCCCCCAGCCACCUAGGGGACUCCCGGGAGGGAAAGGUCCCAGACCCUCAGGCCUGUGGGCAGGCGGGAAUGUGUUUUAAGAGAGGGGGGUCAAUCCUGACUGCCUUUCCUCCAGGUGCUCUGGCUGCUUCUCUGAGCCCUACCACAUCUCUGGGCUGUAGGGGAGUUCUCCGUCCCCACCUCUGACCUAGGCUGGAGGUAGGGCCGUUCUGCCCUGCUGCUCUUGGUACACAUGGGGCAGCAGUGGGCACAGGCCUCUGUCUUCCGUCUCUCUUUUCCUGUUUCAGAAGCCAUCAGGGUCAUAAAAGCCAAGGUGUGAAGGGACCCCAGGCUUCCGGGAGAGUGCUGGUUCAGCUGGGAACACAGGCUGUGGGGAAAAAGCGGAAACCAGGACUAGAGGGCUCAGGGACACGGCUCCUGGAUGGGGUGGUGGAGACAGGUCUCUGUCCCAAAGGACUUCAAGCUCACCCAGCCCAGAGGCAAGUUAACACUGGUUUAUCUGUCCAAUGACACGCCAGUCUGGUGGAACCAGGCAGGGCAAGCAGCAGGCUCAGGCAGAGGUGUCGAAA
rnacentral:sRNA from 1 species